CUCCUUUCCUCCCUCCCUCUCUGCUUCUCUCCCUGCCUUUCAGCUGCUGGGCUGCUCUCCGCCUCUGUGCUCUCCCGCUGGCAGUGCUGGCUGGUGGAGCGCAGGGCCAGGGCUGGCUCUCACAGAGUCCCUGGUCUUCUCUAGCCUGGGCUACAGAGAGAGAGGCUCGUGUGCCAACCAGAGCCCUGCCGUGCCCUGCCAGCUCCCCUCUCUCCACCAUGCCUCUGCUGGACAUUUUUUGGGCUUGCUUCAGGAAAGUAAAGUGCUUCCCGUUGCGGCAAGUGAGGAAGAAUGCUG
rnacentral:lncRNA from 1 species